AUUGAACGCUGGCGGCAUGCCUUACACAUGCAAGUCGAACGGUAACAGGUUAAGCUGACGAGUGGCGAACGGGUGAGUAAUGUAUCGGAACGUGCCCAGUCGUGGGGGAUAACUGCUCGAAAGAGCAGCUAAUACCGCAUACGACCUGAGGGUGAAAGCGGGGGGUCGCAAGACCUCGCGCGAUUGGAGCGGCCGAUAUCAGAUUAGGUAGUUGGUGAGGUAAAGGCUCACCAAGCCGACGAUCUGUAGCUGGUCUGAGAGGACGACCAGCCACACUGGGACUGAGACACGGCCCAGACUCCUACGGGAGGCAGCAGUGGGGAAUUUUGGACAAUGGGCGCAAGCCUGAUCCAGCCAUGCCGCGUGCGGGAAGAAGGCCUUCGGGUUGUAAACCGCUUUUGUCAGGGAAGAAAAGGUUCUGGCUAAUACCUGGGACUCAUGACGGUACCUGAAGAAUAAGCACCGGCUAACUACGUG
rnacentral:rRNA from 1 species